CUGACGGAGCACGCCGCGUGAGUGAUGAAGGUUUUCGGAUCGUAAAACUCUGUUGUUAGGGAAGAACAAGUACCGUUCGAAUAGGGCGGUACCUUGACGGUACCUAACCAGAAAGCCACGGCUAACUACGUGCCAGCAGCCGCGGUAAUACGUAGGUGGCAAGCGUUGUCCGGAAUUAUUGGGCGUAAAGCGCGCGCAGGCGGUUCCUUAAGUCUGAUGUGAAAGCCCACGGCUCAACCGUGGAGGGUCAUUGGAAACUGGGGAACUUGAGUGCAGAAGAGAAGAGCGGAAUUCCACGUGUAGCGGUGAAAUGCGUAGAGAUGUGGAGGAACACCAGUGGCGAAGGCGGCUCUUUGGUCUGUAACUGACGCUGAGGCGCGAAAGCGUGGGGAGCAAACAGGAUUAGAUACCCUGGUAGUCCACGCCGUAAACGAUGAGUGCUAAGUGUUAGAGGGUUUCCGCCCUUUAGUGCUGCAGCAGACGCAUUAAGCACUCCGCCUGGGGAGUACGGCCGCAAGGCUGAAACUCGAAGGAAUUGACGGGGGCCCGCACAAGCGGUGGAGCAUGUGGUUUAAUUCGAAGCAACGCGGAGAACCUUACCAGGUCUUGACAUCCUCUGACAAUCCUAGAGAUAGGACUUUCCCCUUCGGGGGACAGAGUGACAGGUGGUGCAUGGUUGUCGUCAGCUCGUGUCGUGAGAUGUUGGGUUAAGUCCCGCAACGAGCGCAACCCUUGAUCUUACUUGCCAGCAUUCACUUGGGCACUCUAAGUGACUGCUGGUGACGAACCUGAGCUAUGUGCGGAUGACGUCAAAUCAUCAUGCCCCUUAUGACCCUGCGCUACACGAGUGCUGCGAUGGCUGAUACAAAUGGCUGCAAGGACCGGCGCCGCGCAUCCCAUCCCAUAAAUGCAUUACUACGCUCGGCACUCGUACGCUGUACUUCGCCUGCGUGAAAGCCUAGAUUCGCCUAGUACUCGCUGGAUCAGCUACUCCUCCAGUUACUGCGCCUCACCCCGGACCUGUACUCGAUCGUUCGUUACAACAGAGGUGUUAUCGUA
rnacentral:rRNA from 2 species